GACGAACGCUGGCGGCGUGCUUAACACAUGCAAGUCGAACGGUGAAGCGCUUGCCUUUUUGGUGGGUGUGGAUGAGUGGCGAACGGGUGAGUAACACGUGAGUAACCUGCCCUCUUCUUCUGGAUAACCUCAUGAAAGUGGGGCUAAUACGGGGUAUUCCGGGUCUGUCGCAUGGCGGGUUUGGGAAAGAUUGCGCCUUUGGGUGUUUUCGGUGGGGGAUGGGCUCGCGGCCUAUCAGCUUGUUGGUGGGGUGAUGGCCUACCAAGGCGGUGACGGGUAGCCGGCCUGAGAGGGUGGACGGCCACACUGGGACUGAGACACGGCCCAGACUCCUGCGGGAGGCAGCAGUGGGGAAUAUUGCACAAUGGGCGAAAGCCUGAUGCAGCGACGCCGCGUGAGGGAUGGAGGCCUUCGGGUUGUGAACCUCUUUCGCCAGUGAAGCAGGCCUGCUCCUGUGUGGGUGGGUUGACGGUAGCUGGAUAAGAAGCGCCGGCUAACUACGUG
rnacentral:rRNA from 1 species